GGAUGCGAUCAUACCAGCACUGAAGCACCGGAUCCCAUCAGAAGUCCGAUGUUAAGCGUGCUUGGGCGAGAGUAGUACUAGGAUGGGUGAUCUCCUGGGAAGUCCUCGUGUUGCAUUCC
rnacentral:rRNA from 2 species